CAAAACCUACUAAUUCAGAAUUGCUGGGUGUGGGGCCAAUAAAUCUGUGUUUCACCGAGGCAUCACGUGAUUCUGAUGCACGUUAGGUUUGAGAACAUUGGAUUAGAGAAACGAAGCGACCUCUUUCAUUAUAACAGAAGGGAAGGGGAAAAAGAUAAAAUGUAGAUAACAGAAAGGAAUAGGAACAAAGGCAUUGGCAUCGGCAGUGAUUCAGAACCCGCAGAGUGGUGCAUUUCACUUUUAUAAUUACUCUCUUGGCGGGACAAUUCUGAAAAUUGCUCUACCCACUUCCUCAGAGGUUUCCCACUGGGAUGGAGCCUACCACGAAACAGGUAGCAGAUCGCUGCAGGGACACCAAAAUUGGAGGAAUUUUGCUUGCUGCUAGAGAAACAGGGAUGUUUACUAACUUGUCUGGUUAACCGUUUCUCUCCAUUAAAAAUACAUAGGCUGGAUAAAAUUAAGAGAACUGGUUAAUGAGCAUAAUCUGUCAAUAAAUUAAGGCGAGAAAUUGCCAACUAUCAGGCACAAUUCUAUUUGGGAAAUUGUAUCUGUUUAUUUUAGGAUAUAACAUUUGGCAAGUGAAAGAGCUAAUCCAUACGAUGUAUCUUUGUGGAAGGGUAUUUGCUACUGAAAAGAAUUGGUUCCAGCUGGCUAAGCAUUUUGAUAUGUCCUUGAAGGCUCAUACCCAUUGCUGUAUUAGAAGAACAUGUUAGCUAUUAGCAUCUAAAUUUUAAAUGGAUGGCUAAAGUAGGUUUGUGAGUGAGAAAGCCUAGGAUACAAGAGGUAUUGUUUUCCAUGUCAAGGAAAUUUCUACAUCAAUAGAAUAUUUAGUUAAUUCCAAAUUUGCUGGACAAUCCAAAACCUUUUCGAUUCACAGAUUUGAUCUUAAGUUCAAAUUUCCAAGUUUCUCAAAUUUCCAGGACUCUUAGUUUAAUAAAUGACAGUAAUAUAGCACAGGAGAGAAAAUCCUCAGUCCUAGAGUUAGAAAGACCUGGGCCCAUUCUCAUCUCAUUUGUUAGUGAUAGGUCAUACAUCAAGUUAUUUACUCUAAGUUUUAGUCUCCUUAUCUAUGAAAUAGUGAUAAUUACAGGGCCUAUUUCAUGGGGCUGUAAGAAUAAAAUGAAAUAAUGGACAUAAAGUGCUUAAGACACGGUAAGCUCUCCAUUGUUAACCCUGUUUUUAUUUGUUAUCAAUAUAUUAUCCUGGGACAAAGGAAGGCAAGGAUUACGAAAACUGAUUC
rnacentral:lncRNA from 1 species